UUGACCUCAAAUCGAGUAGGACUACCCGCUGAACUUAAGCAUAUCAAUAAGCGGAGGAAAAGAAACUAACAAGGAUUCCCCUAGUAACGGCGAGUGAAGAGGGAAGAGCUCAAAUUUUGAAUCUGGCGUCUUUGGCGUCCGAAUUGUAAUCUAGAGAAGUGUUUUCCGUGACGGACCGUGCAUAAGUCUCCUGGAAUGGAGUGUCAUAGAGGGUGAGAAUCCCGUAUAUGGCACGGACUCCCGUUGCUCUGUGAUACACUCUCGACGAGUCGAGUUGUGUGGGAAUGCAGCUCUAAAUGGGUGGUAAAUGCCAUCUAAAGCUAANAUUGGCGAGAGACCGAUAGCGAUCCAGUACCGUGAGGGAAAGAUGACAAGCACUUUGGGAAAGAGAGUGAAACAGNACGUGAAAUUGUUGAAACGGAACC
rnacentral:rRNA from 1 species